rnacentral:tRNA from 1 species
CAAGGGGUAGUUUAAUUGAAUGUUGGCUUUGGGGGUCAACGGUGGGGGUUUAAAUCCCCCCCUCUUGA